rnacentral:rRNA from 1 species
AGCGAACGCUGGCGGCAGGCCUAACACAUGCAAGUCGAGCGCCCAGCAAUGGGAGCGGCAGACGGGAUAGUAACACGUGGGAACGUACCUUUCAGUUCGGAACAACCAAGGGAAACUUUGGCUAAUACCGAAUACGCCCGUAAGGGGAAAGAUUUAUCGCUGAAAGAUCGGCCCGCGUCUGAUUAGCUAGUUGGUGAGGUAAUGGCUCACCAAGGCGACGAUCAGUAGCUGGUCUGAGAGGAUGAUCAGCAUCACUGGGACUGAGACACGGCCCAGACUCCUACGGGAGGCAGCAGUGGAGAAUAUUGGACAAUGGGCGCAAGCCUGAUCCAGCCAUGCCGCGUGAGUGAUGAAGGCCUUAGGGUUGUAAAGCUCUUUCGUCAGGGAAGAUAAUGACGGUACCUGAAGAAGAAGCCCCGGCUAACUUCGUGCCAGCAGCCGCCGUAACAC